CUAAUUUGAGACCUUGGUCAAGAACAUUUGGAUUUGUAUCAGAAUACGUUGGAAAUGAAUUUGAAACACUUGUGCUUCUGAACAUAUUGUAAAUAAAUACAUUAUUAUUUCUCAUUGAAAA